GACGAACGUUGGCGGCGUGCUUAACACAUGCAAGUCGAACGGUAAGGCUCCAGCUUGCUGGGGUACACGAGUGGCGAACGGGUGAGUAACACGUGGGUGACCUGCCCUGCACUUCGGGAUAAGCCUGGGAAACUGGGUCUAAUACCGGAUAGGACCGCACCGUGAGGGUGUGGUGGAAAGUUUUUUCGGUGUGGGAUGGGCCCGCGGCCUAUCAGCUUGUUGGUGGGGUAAUGGCCUACCAAGGCGGCGACGGGUAGCCGGCCUGAGAGGGUGGACGGCCACAUUGGGACUGAGACACGGCCCAGACUCCUACGGGAGGCAGCAGUGGGGAAUAUUGCACAAUGGGCGGAAGCCUGAUGCAGCGACGCCGCGUGGGGGAUGACGGCCUUCGGGUUGUAAACUCCUUUCACCAUCGACGAAGGGUUUCUGACGGUAGAUGGAGAAGAAGCACCGGCUAACUACGUGCCAGCAGCCGCGGUAAUACGUAGGGUGCGAGCGUUGUCCGGAAUUACUGGGCGUAAAGAGCUCGUAAGUGGUUUGUCGCGUCGUCUGUGAAAUUCCGGGGCUUAACUCCGGGCGUGCAGGCGAUACCGGCAUAACUUGAGUACUGUAGGGGAGACUGGAAUUCCUGGUGUGGCGGUGAAAUGCGCAGAUAUCAGGAGGAACACCGGUGGCGAAGGCGGGUCUCUGGGCAGUAACUGACGCUGAGGAGCGAAAGCAUGGGGAGCGAACAGGAUUAGAUACCCUGGUAGUCCAUGCCGUAAACGGUGGGCGCUAGGUGUGGGUUUCCUUCCACGGGAUCCGUGCCGUAGCUAACGCAUUAAGCGCCCCGCCUGGGGAGUACGGCCGCAAGGCUAAAACUCAAAGGAAUUGACGGGGGCCCGCACAAGCGGCGGAGCAUGUGGAUUAAUUCGAUGCAACGCGAAGAACCUUACCUGGGCUUGACAUAUACAGGAUCGCGCCAGAGAUGGUGUUUCCCUUGUGGCUUGUAUACAGGUGGUGCAUGGUUGUCGUCAGCUCGUGUCGUGAGAUGUUGGGUUAAGUCCCGCAACGAGCGCAACCCUUGUCUUAUGUUGCCAGCACGUUGUGGUGGGGACUCGUAAGAAACUGCCGGGGUUAACUCGGAGGAAGGUGGGGAUGACGUCAAAUCAUCAUGCCCCUUAUGUCCAGGGCUUCACACAUGCUACAAUGGUCGGUACAGUGGGUUGCCAGUCCGUGAGGGCGAGCUAAUCCCGCAAAGCCGGUCUCAGUUCGGAUCGGGGUCUGCAACUCGACCCCGUGAAGUCGGAGUCGCUAGUAAUCGCAGAUCAGCAACGCUGCGGUGAAUACGUUCCCGGGCCU
rnacentral:rRNA from 1 species